rnacentral:rRNA from 1 species
GAUGAACGCUGGCGGCGUGCCUAAUACAUGCAAGUCGAGCGAACAGACGAGGAGCUUGCUCCUCUGACGUUAGCGGCGGACGGGUGAGUAACACGUGGAUAACCUACCUAUAAGACUGGGAUAACUUCGGGAAACCGGAGCUAAUACCGGAUAACAUGUUGAACCGCAUGGUUCAACAGUGAAAGACGGUCUUGCUGUCACUUAUAGAUGGACCCGCGCCGCAUUAGCUAGUUGGUAAGGUAACGGCUUACCAAGGCAACGAUGCGUAGCCGACCUGAGAGGGUGAUCGGCCACACUGGAACUGAGACACGGUCCAGACUCCUACGGGAGGCAGCAGUAGGGAAUCUUCCGCAAUGGGCGAAAGCCUGACGGAGCAACGCCGCGUGAGUGAAGAAGGUCUUCGGAUCGUAAAACUCUGUUAUUAGGGAAGAACAAAUGUGUAAGUAACUAUGCACGUCUUGACGGUACCUAAUCAGAAAGCCACGGCUAACUACGUG